rnacentral:rRNA from 1 species
UACGUAGGCAGCAAGCGUUGUUCGGAGUUACUGGGCGUAAAGGGUGCGCAGGCGGUCUCGUAAGCUGGGUGUGAAAGCCCCCGGGCUUAACCUGGGAAUGGCAUUCAGGACUGCGAGGCUUUGAGUGCGGCAGAGGGAGGUGGAAUUCCACGUGUAGCAGUGAAAUGCGUAGAGAUGUGGAGGAACACCGAUGGCGAAGGCAGCCUCCUGGGCCAGCACUGACGCUCAUGCACGAAAGCGUGGGGAGCAAACAGG